ensembl:lncRNA MIR17HG miR-17-92a-1 cluster host gene
GGGACAUGGCGGCGACUGCGCGCCGCCGCCGAUUGUUCCCGGCUUAGGCCUCGGGCCGCGUGCGACGGGCACCGCGGCCGCGGAGCCCCCGCCCCUCUGGGCCGGGCUCGGGGGGGCUGGGGGACACAAAGGAGGGGCGGCGCGCCCGCGUCCCCGCCGCACUCGGGCCUCGGCGCCGCCGGUCGCCGCGCGGCUGCCGCCGGGAAACGGGUUGGGGGGGUUGCCGCGUCCGGCGGGGCCUGACUCUGACCCGCCGCCCCCUGGCGGCUACGCGGAGAAUCGCAGGGCCGCGCUCCCCCUUGUGCGACAUGUGCUGCCGGCCCGGGCUCCAUGAGCGUGGCGGGCACUUUGCAGUCUCGGGUGUUCCUGCCCGGUCUUCUGUUCCUAAACUGCAGCAAAGGGAAAAGGAACUGAAAAAGGCAGGCUCGUCGUUGCAAUAUCACCAAAAGAGAAAAUUAACGGCAUGCCAUCAGGACCACAGCAGUUGGAGAAACAACUCUUUAUCCCGGCUUGCAGCCACGAGGUCUUGAUUGGGGGAGGGGUGGUGAAGAAUAGUCUGUGGGCUGCUUUUUUUUUUUCCUUUUACUGGAGCUGUACAGUGGAGUCGGUGAUUGCUGCUGAUCAUAAUCAAGUAUUUUAGGAGCUUAUUUAGACAUGUAUCUGAUAGCUAAGGAUUUUUCAACUUUAUUCUCUUACGUAUUUUUCAACUGUAAAUUAUUGGGCUUUUAAAUCCUGCUAGUAUUGCUCGACUCUUACUCUCACAAAUGGAUGGAAUUAAUUGCUGUUAGGAGGUUGGAAAAUAGCAAAUAUAGAUUUGGACGGUGGUAGUAAUUUUGAGCAAAUAAUGUUUUAUCUUUUUUUUCCUUAUUUUUCCCUAUUCCAGUCAUACACGUGGACCUAACUGCACCAGUAGCUUUUCUGAGAAUACUUGCUGAAAAGGAAGUUUUCUGGAAUGGUAUUUGCUAAGUGGAAGCCAGAAGAGGAGGAAAAUGUUUUGCCACGUGGAUGUGAAGAUUUCCUCUAAAAGGUACACAUGGACUAAAUUGCCUUUAAAUGUUCCAAAAUUAGUUCUCAUUUAUUUGCAGUCUCAUUUUGUUUUGUUUUUUUUCUCUAUGUGUCAAUCCAUUUGGGAGAGGCCAGCCAUUGGAAGAGCCACCACUUCCAGUGCUAGUUGGAUGGUUGGUUAUGAUUGCCUUCUGUAAAGAAUUCUUAAGGCAUAAAUACGUGUCUAAAUGGACCUCAUAUCUUUGAGAUAAUUAAACUAAUUUUUUCUUCCCCAUUAGGGAUUAUGCUGAAUUUGUAUGGUUUAUAGUUGUUAGAGUUUGAGGUGUUAAUUCUAAUUAUCUAUUUCAAAUUUAGCAGGAAAAAAGAGAACAUCACCUUGUAAAACUGAAGAUUGUGACCAGUCAGAAUAAUGUCAAAGUGCUUACAGUGCAGGUAGUGAUAUGUGCAUCUACUGCAGUGAAGGCACUUGUAGCAUUAUGGUGACAGCUGCCUCGGGAAGCCAAGUUGGGCUUUAAAGUGCAGGGCCUGCUGAUGUUGAGUGCUUUUUGUUCUAAGGUGCAUCUAGUGCAGAUAGUGAAGUAGAUUAGCAUCUACUGCCCUAAGUGCUCCUUCUGGCAUAAGAAGUUAUGUAUUCAUCCAAUAAUUCAAGCCAAGCAAGUAUAUAGGUGUUUUAAUAGUUUUUGUUUGCAGUCCUCUGUUAGUUUUGCAUAGUUGCACUACAAGAAGAAUGUAGUUGUGCAAAUCUAUGCAAAACUGAUGGUGGCCUGCUAUUUCCUUCAAAUGAAUGAUUUUUACUAAUUUUGUGUACUUUUAUUGUGUCGAUGUAGAAUCUGCCUGGUCUAUCUGAUGUGACAGCUUCUGUAGCACUAAAGUGCUUAUAGUGCAGGUAGUGUUUAGUUAUCUACUGCAUUAUGAGCACUUAAAGUACUGCUAGCUGUAGAACUCCAGCUUCGGCCUGUCGCCCAAUCAAACUGUCCUGUUACUGAACACUGUUCUAUGGUUAGUUUUGCAGGUUUGCAUCCAGCUGUGUGAUAUUCUGCUGUGCAAAUCCAUGCAAAACUGACUGUGGUAGUGAAAAGUCUGUAGAAAAGUAAGGGAAACUCAAACCCCUUUCUACACAGGUUGGGAUCGGUUGCAAUGCUGUGUUUCUGUAUGGUAUUGCACUUGUCCCGGCCUGUUGAGUUUGGUGGGGAUUGUGACCAGAAGAUUUUGAAAAUUAAAUAUUACUGAAGAUUUCGACUUCCACUGUUAAAUGUACAAGAUACAUGAAAUAUUAAAGAAAAUGUGUAACUUUUUGUGUAAAUACAUCUUGUCUUGUUUUCAUUCAAAAACAUUUCACUUUUGGGGUUGCGUGUCAGAUUUGGCAGUAUAAAUUCUGGCUAUAUUUUUUGUUGUUAGAUUUAUUUGGCUGUUAAGUAUUGCGAUAUGACUAAACAUACUGUAUACCUGAUGAUCAUCUGUAAAGUUAGAGUAUAUCUUUUUGCUUUCUUUGGAGUUAGUGUUAUUCCAGGAUAUUUUACUUAAUCUAAAAGUUAAUUUAUGUUGCUCAUAUAUUACUCAAGUAUUUAAAUUUAGAGAGAAUGCCGCUCUGUUUAAAGCAAUGUGUAAAGAUGAGUUUUUUUAAGCAUGGAAUUUAGGGUUGGGGUACAAUUUGUUUCUAUUAAGCAAGUACCAGUUUACCAAUACAUGAGUAACUGAAGUGUAACUGUUAAAUGCUUGUAUACUAGUUUUUCUUUCUGAUUGUCAGUGAUUUAUAAGCUAUAAAUGACCAAGGUCCUCAGACUGCUUUUAGCAUCUGCAACUUAAAAAAAUGGGAGUUAGAAAAAGAACAAAUGCUAAAUAGAGUAACAGUUAAAUGUAUGUGUACACUCUUCCCAAAUGCCAAGAGUGCAGCGGUGGGGUGAGAUUCAGAUAUUCAUUUAUUUCUAAGUCUGUAGUUAACAUUUAUGUUCCCUACUCCCUACGUAAGCCAGACUUUGGCAACAGUGAUAGUUGAUUCCAGGCUUAUUUGACUUAAAGUCACUGAAGUGGAAACUAAGAAGUGGCAGUUAGUGUUUUACCCAGCAUUUCUGCCUUCUCUCUUUUCUUCAUGUGUUUUUGUCUCUAGCCUAUGUGUAUUUGUGUAGAAUAAUGUGGGAUACCUGAAUAAUAGAUUUAAAAGGACCAAGUGGUAAAAUUGGGCCCAAGCUGAAGUACAGGCAAACUUGAUGUUUGAAAGAUAAGUUUUGAGAAAUGUCAUUGUAUUUUGGAGUAAAAGAGGCUAUCUUAGUAAUAAGAAAUAAACUUCCAUAACACUAGGUUAGACCACCCAAUAAAUCUAGAAAUCAGCUUUUAAAAAUAUUGUCUGAAGUCUAACAAAAGUUUUCACCUCUAAUGUGUUCUUUAAGAAAUUUAAGGAACUUAGCCUUGGAUUCCUGAAUAGAAAGGUAAGAAUUCUAUCAUUCUGGAGUUGAUGAAAACAUAAAUUUUCAGGAUGUGAAAUGAACAGUGAUUUAUAAAAUGGAAAUCAAAUUGUACAUUAGCAGAGUUCUUAAGCUUUUUGAAUUGAAGGAGACCUAAUAAUUGUGUCUUUUUGGUUAUUUAGUGACAAACGUGGCUUUCAAACUAUGCUUAAAAAGUUCCGGCUGGACACGGUGGCUCACACCUAUAAUCCUAGCACUUGGGGAGGCUGAGGCAGACGGAUUACCUGAGGUCAGGAGUUCGAGACCAACCUGGCCGACAUGGUGAAACGCUGUCUCUACUAAAAAUAUAAAAAAUUAGCCGGGUGCAGUGGCGUGCACCUGUAAUCCCAGCUACUCUGGAGGCUGAGGCAGGAGAAUCACCUGAACCUGGGAGGUGGAGGUUUCAGUGAGCUGAGAUCCUGCCACUGCACUCCAGCCUGGGCGCAAGACCAAGACUUAAACGCAAAAAAAAAAAAAAAAAAAAAAAAAAA